rnacentral:rRNA from 1 species
CCUACGGGUGGCAGCAGUGAGGAAUAUUGGACAAUGGGCGAGAGCCUGAACCAGCCAAGUAGCGUGAAGGAUGACUGCCCUACGGGUUGUAAACUUCUUUUAUAAAGGAAUAAAGUGAGGCACGUGUGCCUUUUUGUAUGUACUUUAUGAAUAAGGAUCGGCUAACUCCGUCCCAGCAGCCGCGGUAAUACGGAGGAUCCGAGCGUUAUCCGGAUUUAUUGGGUUUAAAGGGAGCGUAGGUGGGUUGUUAAGUCAGUUGUGAAAGUUUGGGGCUUAACCGUAGAAUUGCAUUGGAUACUGGCAGCCUUGAGUACAGUUGAGGUAGGCGGAAUUCGUGGUGUAGCGGUGAAAUGCUUAGAUAUCACGAAGAACUCCGAUUGCGAAGGCAGCCUACUAAGCUGCCACUGACGUUGAUGCUCGAAAGUGUGGGUAGCAAACAGGAUUAGAUACCCGAGUAGUC